CUCCUUGUGGUGUAGUUGGCUAUCACGUUCGGCUGUAAUUGUUGAAAUCAUAUACCGAAAGGUCACCGGCUCGAUUCCGGUCGAGGAGA